rnacentral:rRNA from 1 species
UACGUAGGGUGCAAGCGUUGUCCGGAAUUAUUGGGCGUAAAGAGCUCGUAGGCGGUUUGUCGCGACGGCUGUGAAAACCUAGGGCUCAACUCUGGGCUUGCAGCCGAUACGGGCAAACUAGAAUUCGGUAGGGGAGACUGGAAUUCCUGGUGUAGCGGUGAAAUGCGCAGAUAUCAGGAGGAACACCGGUGGCGAAGGCGGGUCUCUGGGCCGAUAUUGACGCUGAGGAGCGAAAGCGUGGGGAGCAAACAGG